ACUGUACAUCUUUGUUCCAGGAGCUUGCUUGAUUCCCUGUUUCUCUUUUGUUUCUCUCUUCAAGAUUCAGGUCCUGUUGGGCUGUUUCCUUCUAUUUUUUAUUUUAUUUUAUUUUAUUUUAUUUUAUUUUAUUUUAUUUUAUUUAUUUGGCUGUUUCCUUUUUAAAAGAAUGCACUCUACCUGGUGCUCUCCUGGAAUCUCUGGGUUUGCGGUCAUGGAAGGGACUAUUUUGGAGGCAGGCAACAGGGUAGAACCAGCUAUAUUACCAGCCAGCAAAUCUCCACUGUGCCUAAUGGACUCUUUCCUCUCCUGGGAUAGUGCUUACCUGCACCAACCUCAGAUGGGUUUGGAAGAAGAGCCUGCUGCCCACUAUGUCUGAAAAGGGACAGUGGCGGGAGAGGUCACUGGGAAUCAGUGGAAGAGGAGCUGGUCCAGGAGCAGAGACCAUGUCCUAAUCAUCUUCAUAUAUUCUGCAGCACAUGGCAAAGGGCUCACACAUGAAAAAAAGAAAAUUCGGGAUCCCUGGGUGGCGCAGCGGUUUGGCGCCUGCCUUUGGCCC